AUCUCUUCCUGGAGGUUGCUCCUUGUGGAGUAUUUAUGAGCCUACAACACCGAUGUGAAAAUGUCUGCUGGCUUGUUUAAACUGAGGAUCAGAAGACUUCUUUUCUUUCAUCCUGAGUCUUCAGAUCCACAGAUGAUGUUUAAUUGCAGUGCUUGUUUCCUAGAGUAGCUGUAUCAGCUCUAGACAAAUGCAGGAGGCACUUGCAGAGAUCACAGUCAUCUGAUCUAUGGCAGUUGGGCAUAUCUCAUCUUUUAAAAAUCAGGCAUAACAGCUGAGUCAGUUUUAAAUCUACCUCAGUGUCUCCUUAUCUAAUCCAUACUGUAUCUGCUUAUCUGUGAGGAUAUUAUGAGAAGACAUCAUCAAAAGCCUUACUAAAGUCAAGAUAAACAAUAUCUACUGCUCGAACCUCAACCACCAAGCUGAUCACCACAUUGCAGAAGGCAGCAAGGUUGUUCAUGCAUAAUUUCGCCUUGAUAAAUCCAUGCUGACCACUCUACUUUCUUGUAAACCACUUCCAAACUAAUGAAAGGCAACAAUGGCUGUUCCAUCACCUUCCUACAAGCAGAGGUAAAACUGACCAACGUCCGUCCAAGUCCACUCCCAAAUUUGCUAAAUGAUUCCUCUUAUACACAAAGCACAUAUCACAUUGUUCUUUGAUGUAUAUGAAAAAUAAUUUAACAGUGGUAACUGUUAAGACUUCAAGUGUAGUGACUUGUCUCUUUCAGGUAGAAUCACUCUUCUCUGGCAUGCAACACAGUGCACUGAUCUAGUUGGGCAGGCACUUGACCAAAGGGAGUUUGCAUGGUAAUUAGAAGCACUUAGGAGAAACAGACAGGCUUUGUGCACUGUAAAUGGCAUAUUCUAAUUAUUCCUUCAAGAUGAAAAAAUGGCAACAAGUUGUUCUGAUCAUCCUGCCCUAUCUAUUGUUACUGAAUGUAUGCAACACCUCUGCGGCAGAUGUGGUAAUAGGGGCAGUGAGGGCUCCUAACCUGUUCUGCAUUUCUGGGACUUGCAAGUCUCAAUCUCAUGUUUUCUGCAAUUGCAAUGGACUAGUUGAUGUACUUGAGGGCAGCUACCCUCUGGGAGCACUGUCUCGUUAAAAUAUAUUUUGAGUUCUUUGUAGCUAUUUCUCAUCUUGAGAGAAAAGCAUGGAACUGCAGUCAUUGCCUGUUGAAUUGUUCUCCUUAUGCAGUGAGGAAGAGGGGCGAAGCUAUUUAAGGUGGCUGUUUUGUCUGUGCAGACUCAGUUUUAAUGCAGCAGCACAUUUUAGUAUAAAAUUUAAGAGGUCAGUAAACAACUCAGCAGUAAUUGAGCAAUUCAAACAAAAGCUUCUCAAAUUUUGAUACUUGGGGGAUGGAGAGGAGGCAAGAAAAAGGGAGCCAUUGUUAAAUGUGUUGCCGAAGCCAUCCCAUUUUUUUUAAUGCCCUUGUUUAAUAAAGAUAGUAACUAUUGAGUGACAACAGAAGGAUUUUUCUUUUCAAGAUUGUAUCUGAAUUUGUUUUUCAAAAUUGAUUGUUGAAACAUUCCCACAGAUGAGCCCCACGUCCUCCAGUGAGUACAAAACUCUGUGUAUCCCCUGGGGAAUUUACGAGUCUGAGUUGGUUAUGUAUCACAGUAUUAAGUGGCUUGUUUCCUUUUUCAGAGUUUGCAUCAGAAAGGUAUAUUGUGUGCAGCUAACAAAGGGUACCAGUUUUGGUUAUUUUUUUUAAGUUAAGUCCUUUAGGUGCUCUUCUCAUGACCUGAAAUUGUUUUUAAAUAUUCAGUCUACAAUAAAACUUUGAU
ensembl:lncRNA